rnacentral:lncRNA from 1 species
GGGAGCGGGCGGGCGGCGCCUCAUGGCGGCCGGUGUCCCGGGGCGGGCAGCUCUAGAGCGCUUCAACAGCCCGAGCGUGCCGCCACCCGCGUCCCGUGAGGAAACCCGCCGGGAGCGCGGCGGCAGCGGCGCUGUCCUGCGCGGGCAGGCACAGAGGUGUGACGGUCACACCGGGCACAAAGCGAGGCCUGCGCGAGGUGCUGCAGUGGUGUCAGCGAAGAGCCUGCCCUCAGGGUGUGAGAGGACAGCUCUUUCUUGCACCUUGGAUGUGAAUUCUGCUCAAGAGAACUGAGGCCAUCGUCCUUGUUCCGGGCAAAAUCAGUCAGCAACAAAAUACAUCUGAGACCCUGGGUGAGACCAUUCCACUGAUUCAAGACAAGGUGAUGGAAAUGAACCACCUCUGUGCCAAAGUGCAUAAAGUAGAGGCAUUUGUUAAAAUGGUUGCACACUGUUUUCCUUCCUAGAAGAGCAAAUGCUUGAAGCCGAGAAGAGCCAUGGCACCUUUCUUAAUACUCUUUGCAAAUUACUUCAGUGUGCAACUAUCUCGUCAUUGAAAACUAGACACCCUCUGUCAGCAGCACACCCCUGUGACCUGCCAAAACUACUGAACCGAAGACUUUUUUCCUAUGAACUAUGUAGGUACCACGUCUCAAAAUAAUUUUUGGCUACUAGAAAGUUUCUGGGAAAGACUGCCCGAGUUGCUUCUCACAGUUCAUACUUUAUGGCAUUAGGAAGAAGCAACUGUUACAUUUCAGAUCUUUGGCUAGCAUCUGCAGGGGAAGCUAAAAGUUUCUGAUCAUAUUGUAGCUAUAUAGAGGCUGGAACAUUUAAGAUUCGAUCAUAGUGGUUUGCACUUCAUCAGCUUCUGAAAUCAGUGGAGAGGAUGUGCAAAUCCUCUUUUACCUUCACGUUUUUAUACCUCAGAUGGUCAGAAGGUUGAAGAGUGCUCUGGAAGCAUGCUAAAGCUGUGAUGUGCUAAUAGUGCCAGCUUCACUAUGCACAAAUGAUCAGAUUUUACAAGAGAAGCCCAUGUCAGAAUUUAGAAGUUCAAUAGACAGCACAUGGAUGGCUAAAGCUCCCAGCACUCUACUUCAGACUAGGAACAGGGGGUUAUGAGCUGUUGUGUAAUGUAAGUAAGUUGAAUGGUAUAAAUAAACUGUCUGCAAAGCU